rnacentral:tRNA from 1 species
GGAUCUGGCUCAGUGGUAGAGCAACUGUUUUGCAUGUAGAAUGCCUCUAGUUCAAUUCCCAGCAUAUCCA